rnacentral:tRNA from 1 species
GCCCGACUGGCUCAGUUGGAAGAGUGUGUGACUCUUGACCUCAAAGUUAUGAGUUUGAGUCCCAUGACGGGUG